AAGCAAGAAAUAAAUUUCUUUUAUCCUUUUGCCAGAAUUCAUUUGGACCGUUUAAUUUUUGAACACUUGAAAACAAUACACUGACUCUUCUAACGGGCAAAUUGAAUUGUUGUUUCAUUACUAUAUACUAUCCUCAUCAAUACAGACCUUAACACAAAAUAACCAGGUCAAGAAGCCGAAAACUUUAAUUAGCAUGCAGAGCCUCAUUAAUCAAUUUCUUUGCUGCCUCGCGGAUGCAUGAAAGGUUAGUUUUUAUCUCGUUACAGAGUCUGCCUUCAACUAGGCGAACAGGCAACCACAACUUUGGUCGUACAUCAACUGAAUAGGAGAGAGUAGUCUGAAACUUUUGACUAAGCAAGGA
rnacentral:lncRNA from 1 species